GAGUCUCCUGGUAGUCCUUUCCCUAUCCUUGACCUUUCUCACACUCCUGGGUAUAACUAGAGAAAAGAAAAUUUGCUUCCAAGUUCCAUGUUUACAACUGAGUUGGACAGAGAGGUUCAUUCAGGAACAAUUAAUCAAUGUCUUCAUGAAUAGUUCAAUAUCUUUUUCAAUAUUGUACAUUAUUUUAAAAUGACAUUAAAGUAAUAUAUGCAUUAAAA